CAAAGGUAGAGUAAUCACUUGUCUUAUAAAUAAAGACCGGUAUGAAUGGCUAAAUGAGUAUUUAACUGUCUCCUUUAACUAAUCAGUGAAACUGAUCUCUCAGUACAAAAGCUGACAUAAAUUUAUAAGACGAGAAGACCCCGUGGAGCUUUAAAUUAUUAACAAAAUAUAAUAAAACAUAUUCAUGAUAAAAAAUUUUUAGUUGGGGCGACUUUGGAGUAAAACAAAACCUCCAAGAAUGAGGCACUGCCUAACCAAGGCUAACAGGCCAAACUAACCGACCCAGUAUCAUUUACUGACCAACGAACCAAGUUACCCCAGGGAUAACAGCGCCAUCUUCUUCAAGAGUUCAUAUCGACAAGAAGGUUUACGACCUCGAUGUUGGAUCAGGACACCCUAAUGGUGCAACCGCUAUUAAAGGUUCGUUUGUUCAACGAUUAAU
rnacentral:rRNA from 1 species